rnacentral:rRNA from 1 species
CAUGUCUUUUUGAGUAUAAUUUAAAGUCUAGCCUGCCCAAUGAAUUAUUGGAUUGAAUGGCCGCGAUAUUUUGAUCGUGCUAAGGUAGCAUAAUAAUUAGUUUUUUAAUUGAGAACUGGAAUGAAUGGCUGGACGAGAAAAAAACUGUCUCAAUUUAAUUUUAAUUAGAAUUUUAUAUUUAAGUUAAAAAGCUUAAAUAUAUUUAAAAGACGAGAAGACCCUAUAGAGUUUUAUAUAAAUUAAAUUUUUAUUUUAAAGACUUUAAAUUUUAUAAGUUUAAUUUAUAUUUAGUUGGGGUGACUUAAAAAUUAAAAUAACUUUUUAUUUAUUAAAACAUUAAUAUAUGAUUAAAUGAUCCAUUUUUAAUGAUUAAAAGAUUAAAUUACCUUAGGGAUAACAGCGUAAUUUUUUUUGAGAGUUCUUAUCGAAAGAAAAGUUUGCGACC